AUGGAUGCCAGCAGCCACGCCGUCGCCAAAGAAUCUUGCACAGACCACGAACAAAAUGAUCCACCAAUACAACCAGAUCAACCACCACCAGACGACAAGAUACCACACGAUGCCGAAGAGGAAACGGACGAGCAAAAUAUCAACAGCAAUAUCACGAGCACAGAGCAACUGGAACAAACAGGCACUGAUUUGGAAGAGGAUGACAGAAGCAACGACGUACCAAAGACACAACAACAGGUUUCCGAGCAGAAGAAACAGCCUGUUCUUCUUCAAGAAGAAACAGGCUCGACAAGCAAUCAGCAAGGCACCUCCAGCACCAUCUCUUUAGACUUCCUAAAACUAAAAACAAUGGAAAAGCAUGAAGAAGUUGAUGAAUUUCUUUCAAGCCUUAACCCGCUACAACUAGACGAAUACAACGAAUUUGUAAAGAUGGGCUAUCAGUUCGAUUUAAUCAAAACAUGGCUGAACGACUAUGAAACCUAUGAAUUCAACAAAGAUGCCAAGCCAUAUCUGACAAUCUUGCAGCAAGAAUCAGGAGAACAUUCAAUGCCUCAAUCAUCUGAGAACAGCUCAGACAAGAAAAUCUCGGUCGAGAAAAGGCCGGUAAAGCCUUCAAGAAGGCUCCUUGCAGAAAUCAUGAUUCCUACUUUUGUCCCAGGAGAUUUCAAAUUUAUGAACAAAGCCAGAGCACUCCAUGAAUACCUAUUCAGCAAAGAAGGACAAGACGAAUGCGGAGAUCUAAACGUAUAUAUUAGCGCGAUGUGA
rnacentral:rRNA from 1 species